GAUGAACGCUGGCGGCGUGCUUAACACAUGCAAGUCGAACGGAAAGGCUCCUGCUUGCAGGGGUACUCGAGUGGCGAACGGGUGAGUAACACGUGGGUGAUCUGCCCUGCACUUCGGGAUAAGCCUGGGAAACUGGGUCUAAUACCGGAUAGGACCACAUCUUGGAUGGUGUGGUGGAAAGUUUUUCGGUGUGGGAUGAGCUCGCGGCCUAUCAGCUUGUUGGUGGGGUAAUGGCCUACCAAGGCGUCGACGGGUAGCCGGCCUGAGAGGGUGUACGGCCACAUUGGGACUGAGAUACGGCCCAGACUCCUACGGGAGGCAGCAGUGGGGAAUAUUGCACAAUGGGCGCAAGCCUGAUGCAGCGACGCCGCGUGGGGGAUGACGGCCUUCGGGUUGUAAACUCCUUUCGCUAGGGACGAAGCGCAAGUGACGGUACCUGGAGAAGAAGCACCGGCUAACUACGUG
rnacentral:rRNA from 1 species